rnacentral:antisense_RNA from 1 species
CUUGAUCGAGCCGAGCCACAGCGGCCGGUCCUCCGGGCGGCCCUGCCCGUACGUCGCCAGCAGCGCCUGCGCCUC